rnacentral:rRNA from 1 species
AAAAAUUUGGUUCUAGUUAAACAUUGGUUUUUAAUAGGAGUUAAUAUGCAAAGGGUUACCAAUUCGCAAUUUAUAUUAUUUAUUAAUUAGGUAUAAUUAGUUUUAUAGUUUUAGUUAAAUAAGGUGCCAGCAGCUGCGGUUAUACCUUGAAAACAAAUUAAUAACAAUACAUUAAAUUUAUAGGGAAUAACAAAUAGAUUAGUUGUGAAAUAAUAUUUUUUAUUCUUUAUAUUAGAGAUUGAAAAAUUUUAAAAAACUGGGGUUAGUAGCCUAUUAUGACUUGGGUAAAUUUUUUAAGGUAUUAAAAGAAGAGUCUCUAAACCUAAAAAACAUGGCAGUAUUUUACUCCUUGCAGAGGAACUUGAAUAUUAAUUAGAUAAUCCUCUUUUAUUCUUACUUAAUUUUUUUUUAUGUGUGGUUGUUGAAAUAAAUAUAAGAUUAUAAUUUUUAAAUCAGAUGACAUGUAUAUAUAAUUAAGGUAAUUUUAGUUACAAUUAAUAAAUUUAUUUGGAAAAAAUAGGAUUUGCAAGUAUUACACUAAAAACGUAAGAAGAGGUUUUAAAAUGUGUACAUAUUGUCCGUCACUCUCAGAAAUGAGAUAAGUCGUAGCAAAGUAAAGGUUUUUGAAAAAGCCUUUUAUUUAUUCAGGAGA